rnacentral:rRNA from 1 species
GAUGAACGCUGGCGGCGCGCCUAAUACACGCAAGUCGAGCGAAUGGAUUAAGAGCUUGCUCUUAUGAAGUUAGCGGCGGACGGGUGAGUAACACGUGGGUAACCUGCCCAUAAGACUGGGAUAACUCCGGGCAACCGGGGCUAAUACCGGAUAACAUUUUGAACCGCAUGGUUCGAAAUUGAAAGGCGGCCUCUUUGCUGUCGCUGAUGGAUGAGCUCGCGUACUAUUAGCUAGUUGGUGGGGUAAUGGCCUACCAAGGCGAUGAUGGUUAGCCGGCCUGAGCGGGUGUGCGUCCACACUGGGGCUGAGAUACGGCCCAGACUCCUACGGGAGGCAGCAGUGGGGAAUAUUGCGCAAUGGGCGAAAGCCUGACGCAGCGACGCCGCGUGGAGGAUGAAGGUCUUCGGAUUGUAGACUGCUUUUGUACGGAACGAAAAGACUCUGGUUAAUACCUGGGGCCCAUGACGGUACCGUAAGAAUAAGCACCGGCUAACUACGUGCCAGCAGCCGCCGCAG